UACGUAGGGGGCAAGCGUUGUCCGGAAUCAUUGGGCGUAAAGAGCGCGUAGGCGGUCCGGUAAGUCAGCUGUGAAAGUCAUGGGCUCAACCCAUGAAAGCCGGUUGAUACUGUCGGGCUAGAGUCCGGAAGAGGCGAGUGGAAUUCCCGGUGUAGCGGUGAAAUGCGCAGAUAUCGGGAGGAACACCAAUGGCGAAGGCAGCUCGCUGGGACGGUACUGACGCUGAGGCGCGAAAGCGUGGGGAGCAAACAGGG
rnacentral:rRNA from 1 species